rnacentral:lncRNA from 1 species
AUGAUGAUAAUACUAGUUUCUCCACAGAGUGGAGGAGCCAUCUCAGGACCCCCUGGAGCACCAGGUGCACCAGUAAGUAUCUCAUCAUCUACUGUCUCAUCAUCCAUCCUCCUGCUGUCACAUCAUCCUGCUGUAUCAUCCUCCUUCUAUCUCAUCAUCCAUCCUUCUUCUGUAUCAUCAUCCUACUGUCUCAUCAUCCUACUGUCUCAUCCUCCUUCUGUCUCAUCAUUCUACUGUAUCAUCCUCCUUCUGUAUCAUCCUCCUACUGUCUCAUCCUCCUUUUGUCUCAUCAUCCUACUGUAUCAUCCCCCUUCUGUAUCAUCCUCCUACUGUCUCAUCCUCCUUCUGUCUCAUCCUCCUACUGUCUCAUCAUCCAGCUGUCUCAUCAUCCAUCUGUCCCCUUCUCCAACCGUAUCAUCCUCCUUCUGUCACAUCAUCCUACUAUCUCAUCCUCCUACUGUCUCAUCAUCCAUCUGUCCCCUUCUCCAACCGAAUCAUCCUCCUUCUGUCUCAUACUCCUACUGUCUCAUCAUCCAGCUGUCUCAUCAUCCAUCUGUCCCCUUCUCCAACCGUAUCAUCCUCCUUCUGUCUCAUCCUCCUACUAUCUCAUCCUCCUACUGUCUCAUCAUCCAUCCUCCUUCUGUCUCAUCAUCCUACUGUCUCAUCAUCCAUCCUACUACUGUAUCAUCAUCCUACUGUCUCAUCCUCCUUCUGUCUCAUCAUCCUGCUGUCUCAUCAUCCUACUGUCUCAUCAUCCAUCCUACUACUGUAUCAUCAUCCUACUGUCUCAUCAUCCUACUGUCUCAUCGUCCUGCUGUCUCAUCAUCCAUCCUCCUACUGUCUCAUCAUCCUGCUGUCUCAUCAUCCUACUGUCUCAUCAUCCUACUGUCUCAUCAUCCAUCCUCCUACUGUCUCAUCAUCCUGCUGUCUCAUCAUCCUGCUGUCUCAUCAUCCUACUCUCUCAUCAUCCUGCUGUCUCAUCAUCCAUCCUCCUACUGUCUCAUCAUCCUUCUGUCUCAUCAUCCUGCUGUCUCAUCAUCCAUCAUCCUACUGUCUCAUCAUCCUACUGUCUCAUCAUCCUAA